UGUACUCUGUGUGCUCAUCGCUUUGGAUUUUGCCUAUUGCCUACUGUUUUUCUUCAUGGACUGUAUAUGACCACCAGCUUUUUAAAGAGAUCCAGCCUUUUUGAACAUACCUUGUGUCCUGUGUCGAACAUUUGCUUUUUUGCCUUUUUGCCACAUUUGAACGAAUUCAACAUUAAGGGCUGGAGAGCAACCUCUCACCCUUUGGGACCUGGUGUGUAUGUAAUGACCUUUCAACACACCCUGGGUCUUCUUGAAACUCGAGACUGUGUGAUGAGGUGCGAACUGAAAACGGAAGGGCUGAGAGAUGAAAGACGGACAGAGAAAGUGGGCGCAAGUGUACCAGACUGAUGCCAAGUUAAAGAAGUGGUGACUGAUUUCGCUAACAGAGGCAGUCUGGAUUCACUUAAGUGAGUGUAAUGUAUAGAGUGAUCACAUUACAAUGCCACAACUGAGCCUUUCUCCAACCUAUUACCUCUAUUCCAACAUCCUGACCGUGACUGAAAAUAAAAUGAUCGGCAGAAAACUGUCAACUGAGUCAACUGUCAAAGAUAAUUAACUUUUCGAAAUGUAUGUUUUGAAGCAAAA